rnacentral:rRNA from 1 species
GACGAACGCUGGCGGCGUGCUUAACACAUGCAAGUCGAACGGUGAAGCGCUUUCCUUUUUGGUUGGUGUGGAUGAGUGGGGAACGGGUGAGUAUCACGUGAGUAACCUGCCCCCUGCUUCUGGAUAACCGCAUGAAAGUGUGGCUAAUACGGGAUAUUCUGCGCCUGCUGCAUGGUGGGUGUGGGAAGGAUUGUGCCUUUGGGUGUUUUCGGUGGGGGAUGGGUGGGGGGCGUAUCAGCUUGUGGGUGGGGGGAUGGCCUACCAGGGCGGUGACGGGUAGGCGGACGGCGAGGGUGCGCGGUGAGAGGGGGACUGGGACAAGGACGAGAGACCUACGGGAGGGAGCAGUGGGGGAUAGUGCACAAUGGGAGAUAGCACGAUGCAGCGACGCCGCGUGAGGGAUGGCGGCGUUCGGGUUGUGAACCUCCUGCUCGAGUGAAGCAGGCCUGCUCCUUGUGGGGGGAUUGACGGUAGUGGGAUAAGAAGCGCCGGCUAACUACGUG